rnacentral:lncRNA from 1 species
UUAUUGGAGCCGAAGCCCGAGCCAGCAGGUGGUCGACAUUGCAUUGAGCCGCAGCCAUGGUCAUCGUGACUGAGCUCGACAGAACUGCAUGGAAGGUGCAGCUCCUGCGUGCAGUCUCGGUGUCCUUCCUUGCCAUGGAAGCAGAGGCCACUACUAACCUGUGCCGCUGCCCACCAUGGACAGGCUCCCUCCUAACACCCAAAAUACAUUGGAUAGCCAAGGUUGGCCCUACCCCAGCAGAGACAACAACACUCCAGCAGGAGAAACUGUCUGCUGCUGAUGAGACAUUGGAAAGUCUUGCCAGCGAUGCCAUAAACCCGAGUGCAAUGACGGUGCGCCAGACAGCCUGGCGGCAGCAGCCCUACGGCCAACCUGUCGACCCCAUCUUGAGCUGGGUGAUAAGGCCCAACUACCUCCAGCCAGAUGCCUCAAGCAUCUAGCUGCAGCAAGCGAAGUUGUGUUCAGGGACUCGACAUCAUCAACUGAGCAUCACAAUGGUGGUCUUAGCAGCCACCAAGUCUGGUGUCACUCCCCUGACAGUAGUGCUCCAUAACUGCCGAGGCACUGCGAGCUACAGCUGUGCAUUCCACCUCCUCGAGAACAUCUAUCCGCUUUGCUUUGGAGGAGCGCAUCCCUCAACGUUAUGGAGAGGUUCCAGCAGAGGAGCCGGACAUCGAGCAGCUGAGCUAUCCAUCCGAGCCACAGGUGCCUCCAGCCGCAAAACAGGCUCAAGGAAAUGUCUCCAGUGGACCACCAAAACCAAAGAACCUCAGCAACCAGACAACUGGUUGCUGCCGUUGCUCAUAGAUGGCAGCAGCAUUUCUUCAAAGGAAGGAGAGCAGGAACAGAACGAGCGGCGAUGUGCGCAACAGCGCGAAUGA